rnacentral:rRNA from 1 species
UGGAUACGAGACGUGGCCGCAUGGUCAACGUUUGGAAAGAUUUUUUGGUUCAGGAUGGGCUCGCGGCCUAUCAGCUUGUUGGUGAGGUAAUGGCUCACCAAGGCGUCGACGGGUAGCCGGCCUGAGAGGGUGACCGGCCACACUGGGACUGAGACACGGCCCAGACUCCUACGGGAGGCAGCAGUGGGGAAUAUUGCACAAUGGGCGAAAGCCUGAUGCAGCAACGCCGCGUGAGGGAUGACGGCCUUCGGGUUGUAAACCUCUUUUAGCAAGGAAGAAGCGAAAGUGACGGUACUUGUAUUUUUAUGCGCCGGCUAACUACGUGCCAGCAGCCGCGGUAAUACGUAGGGCGCAAGCGUUAUCCGGAAUUAUUGGGCGUAAAGAGCUCGUAGGCGGUUUGUCGCGUCUGCUGUGAAAACUGGAGGCUCAACCUCCAGCCUGCAGUGGGUACGGGCAGACUAGAGUGCGGUAGGGGAGAUUGGAAUUCCUGGUGUAGCGGUGGAAUGCGCAGAUAUCAGGAGGAACACCGAUGGCGAAGGCAGAUCUCUGGGCCGUAACUGACGCUGAGGAGCGAAAGGGUGGGGAGCAAACAGGCUUAGAUACCCUGGUAGUCCACCCCGUAAACGUUGGGAACUAGUUGUGGGGACCAUUCCACGGUUUCCGUGACGCAGCUAACGCAUUAAGUUCCCCGCCUGGGGAGUACGGCCGCAAGGCUAAAACUCAAAGGAAUUGACGGGGACCCGCACAAGCGGCGGAGCAUGCGGAUUAAUUCGAUGCAACGCGAAGAACCUUACCAAGGCUUGACAUAUACGAGAACGCUGCAGAAAUGUAGAACUCUUUGGACACUCGUAUACAGGAGGAAAAAAGGUUGUCGUCAGCUCGUGUCGUGAGAUGUUGGGUUAAGUCCCGCAACGAGCGCAACCCUCGUUCUAUGUUGCCAGCACGUAAUGGUGGGAACUCAUGGGAUACUGCCGGGGUCAACUCGGAGGAAGGUGGGGAUGACGUCAAAUCAUCAUGCCCCUUAUGUCUUGGGCUUCACGCAUGCUACAAUGGCCGGUACAAAGGGCUGCAAUACCGUGAGGUGGAGCGAAUCCCAAAAAGCCGGUCCCAGUUCGGAUUGAGGUCUGCAACUCGACCUCAUGAAGUCGGAGUCGCUAGUAAUCGCAGAUC